UCUCUUGGUAUUGUCAUUGCUGUUUUCAAAG
rnacentral:piRNA from 1 species